rnacentral:rRNA from 1 species
GACGAACCGUCCAAACGUUAUUCGGAAUCACUGGGCUUACAGAGUUCUUAGGCGGUCUGGCAAGUUGGGUGUGAAAUCCCUCGGCCUAACCGAGGAACUGCGCUUGAAACUACCAGACUCGAGGGAGAUAGAGGAAAGCGGAACUGAUGGUGGAGCGGUGAAAUGCGUUGAUAUCAUCAGGAACACCGGUGGCGAAGGCGGCUUUCUGGGUCGUACCUGACGCUGAGGAACGAAAGCCAGGGGAGCGAACGGG